rnacentral:hammerhead_ribozyme from 1 species
AGCCGAAACAGCAAGUAUGAUCUUGCUGUCCGUUGGGGACGGUCUCCCAACGCUGAUGAUGGCAGACCAAA